CAGUCGCCGCGGUAAUACGUAGGGUGCAAGCGUUAUCCGGAAUUAUUGGGCGUAAAGAGCUCGUAGGCGGUUUGUCGCGUCUGCUGUGAAAACUGGAGGCUCAACCUCCAGCCUGCAGUGGGUACGGGCAGACUAGAGUGCGGUAGGGGAGAUUGGAAUUCCUGGUGUAGCGGUGGAAUGCGCAGAUAUCAGGAGGAACACCGAUGGCGAAGGCAGAUCUCUGGGCCGUAACUGACGCUGAGGAGCGAAAGCAUGGGGAGCGAACAGGAUUAGAUACCCGCGUAGUCCCUGUCUCUUAUAC
rnacentral:rRNA from 1 species